rnacentral:rRNA from 1 species
AUUGAACGCUGGCGGCAUGCUUUACACAUGCAAGUCGAACGGUAACAGGUUAAGCUGACGAGUGGCGAACGGGUGAGUAAUGCAUCGGAACGCGCCCGGUCGUGGGGGAAAACGCAGCGAAAGCUGCGCAACUACCGCAUACGAUCUGAGGACGAAACCCGGGGACCGUAAAGUAUCGCGCGAUCGGAGAAGCGAAUGUCAGAUUAGGUAGUUGGUGAGGUAAAGGCUCACCAAGCCAACGAUCUGUAGCUGGUCUGUGAGGACGACCAGCCACACUGGGACUGAGACACGACCCAGACUCCUACGGGAGGCAGCAGUGGGGAAUGUUGGACAAUGGGCGAAAGCCUGAUCCAGCAAUGCCGCGUGCAGGAAGAAGGCCUUCGGGUUGUAAACUGCUUUUGUACGGAGCGAAAAGGUCUCCUCUAAUACAGGGGGCUCAUGACGGUACCGUAAGAAUAAGCACCGGCUAACUACGUGCCAGCAGCCGCCGUAA